ensembl:lncRNA
AUCUUUCUUAUCUAAGACACAAGGUGAUCAUAGUCUUCAUGCAUAAAAUGUUACAUCAUUCUCCUAGUAUUCAUCUGUUUAAGACUGAUGCUAGCAUUUAAUAAAGUAUCAUUUUUCAUGAAGUAGCUCUUUAGUGAGCUAUUCAGGACAUGAGAUGUUUGGAUUCUGUGUGAGCCUCAACAUGAGAAAACUACCUUAAAAACCUCAUUUUUCUGGCAGAGCCUGUACAUUGUGCAAAGCAAAUGGCACUGCUAUUCCUACUCUUGGAGCUCUGACACUGUGGAAAAGUACAAGAGAGAGUACAAUUCAAAGCAUGUUAAACCUGUGGUAGAAAUCAAAGUUCAUGGCUUUUAAAUCCCUGGGUAAACCCUGAUAGCAGGCCUGGCUCUUACCCUGAUAUGUGUAUUUUACGUAUCCGUCAGUGAGAAUAGGUGUGCAGCUCAACUCUCAAGACUGAACAUCAGGUUAUUUUUAUCUUUCCUGUUCUAACAGACAUCCAAUUUGUCCCCAGGAACCAGAGACUAAAAGUCUCUCCCCAAAUAUGUGCAUCACUGAGGAAGCCUUAGGAAAGAGGAGAGUCUGAGCUGUGCAAAGAUUUGAAUUUCCUUAUCUGAGUCCUAGGGCAGGAUCUCCACUUCAUCCCAAGAGUACCGCGCAGGAGAAACUCUGUUUUGCCUGCGGAAAGCUGCUGAAUGAGGAGGAAGAAUGGAGAUGAUGGGGUCCAACUUCAGAUUUAGCUGCACAGCAGUGCCUCGUUUAGAUAAUGUGCCUGAAUGGAUUUAUCAGCAGAACCCGUGAGAGCUGAGAAUCAUGGCUGUCCUUCAGGGCAUGCUCAGAUUGCUCUGGACCCGAUACUGUCAAAAAUAUCUGGGAUUCCAUAUUCUCUUUGGAUACCGCUUGCAGGUCAUCUGUAUGUAGCUUGAGAUAUCUAAGAUGAUAAACGGUGGGCACAAUGGUGUUGCUCUGAUUCAUUACCAUAAAGAACUUGCUGACAGAUGACUCCUGAUGGAGUACAAAUUGAAGACCGCUGGGAAAUCCUAUGUUGCUGCAGCCAAGAUGUCUAAUCUGAGAUGUAAUGGAUUGCCUUUCCACAGUACUGAGCAGCAGCAAAAUUAACAGUGAGCUUCACUGGUAUGGCACUUUGGUUUGGACUGUGGUUUUUUUUGGAAAAUUUUAAAGAAAAGGCAUAGAUCCACCUCAUCGUAAAGUUUCAGCUUUUGUUUAAAAUGGUUAUGUAUAUCACAUACGAAGAAAAUGCACCUUUCCGCCCUUUGCUCAAGUAAUUUUUAGGCAACUUUAAACAUUUCUUUUCCCAACAAGAUUUGUCACUUCUUUUGUAACGGUUGAAAGUGUCUUUAAACACCAUUUUACACAAUUUUCUAUCUGUUCAGCAUACUCAUUCUUCUUGGUAAAAUGAUGUCACAAAGUCCAGCAUCUGCCUAAAUUUCCUUUAAACAUCUUUCAUCAUGUAAGACAUAUAAAAGGGAAAAAUGAAACAAAACCCCCAAACACCUGUAGUAUAUUCUAGUUCUACAAGCAACUAUUUUUAGGCAAGUUAAGCCCAGCACUACAGGAGACAGUCUAGACUUUAUUAGAAUUUCUAUAAUAUUAUAAAAAUAUUCAGAUGCUUUGAUGAAGUAAAAAGAAGUAAAAUUUGGGAAGAUAUCCUUCUAUGAUGUAUAUCUAUACACGCAGUCUGAAUUUAAGAAAGGGCCCUCCUUGCCAUAUUUCUAAGCAUUGACAGAGAAUUUUGUACUUAUUGAGGUUUUUUUUUAAAUCUGGGUGAUUUCUGGGAGCAGAAACUUAAUACCUGCUCCUCAAAAUGUACAUAGUCAUGAGCAAGAAUCUUUGACCUGUGAAAAACAGAAAUAUUAGAUGUGCAUGCUUACAUUACACAGAAGAACUGAAUGUUUAAGAACCUCUCUCCAGAGCAAAUAAGAUGACUUCAACAGUUCUAAAAACUAGGUCUCAAAUCUAUUUUCAGUUAAUCCCCCAUUUGAUCAAUUUAUGUUACUAGCUGUCAGCUAAUUUCAAUGAUAUUAUAAAGUCAUUUGUGUAGGCACUUGUUAGAGGAUAUACGAUUAAAGGAAUUCUCACCACCACCUUCAAAACACUGGUGGUGGUAGAAAGAUUAUUUAAACCAUAGAAGUGUGCUGAGUAAAGAAUACAAUAGGAUUGUAAACUCAGAGAAACCCUUAGGGAAACGGACUCUGUUUACUGUAUUUAUAGUGGGCCCAGUUCCAAGACACAGGAGAAGAAACAAACAUUCACUGCCACGAUGGGUUAGAAAAAGUGUCUUUGUGCAAAUGUUAAGAAAAGGCAGUAGGAGUUUUGCAGGUCUCUUACAUUUCUAAUAAAUUGAAAAUCAAAUGGCUAUGCA